AUAAAAUUAAAAUAAUUGAGAAGAAACAGAUCACCUCGUUUGCGAACUCAGACGUGAACAUUUCACAUGAAGUAAUGGAAAAUCAGAUUCGGCUGCAUUAAGAACAUUCUACUACUGCCAAAUAUACCUCAGUCUUGUGAAGAAUAUUCCACUGGGGCCAGAUAAAGCUUUCUCUUGUAACAGAAAAGUCUCGAGAUCUAAAAACAUGUGCACUGGGACACCGAUAAGGUGAUGAAUAACAGAUGGUCUUCUUGAUGAACGCUGAAAUCGCGUUUUUUUUUUUUUUUUUUUUUGGCCAAAUGUGUCUGUUUUUUGUAUGUGUAUUUUUAUUUUUUUCUAUUUAUUUGUUCUGCUUAUUAUAAUAGUCUUCCACACUGCCCCCCAAGAUUCUAGAAAUUUUUGCCUACACAUACUUCUAGGACUUCUGGGCCUUUCUUUUUAACCCAGAGGAAGUUUGCAUUGAGGUAAGCUGUGAGUUGAUGAUCUAAAUCAUUUGCCAAUUAGCUCAAGACAACGUAUUGAAUUCCUUUUUCUCCUGGAGUAGAAAGCCCUGUGGCAGCCCGUGUGAGUUAUGGGUAGAUUUCUGUAUUUGUUUCUGUUUUCCUUUUAUAUUUGGGGUUUGAUGGUUUGGGAGGUUCUAAGCACAUUCUAAAAGCCUCUCUUCUCAAUCCAUUCCAGGACCCCGAACUUGCUCCGGCCUGCCGAUGAAGGCAUUUAAUUACCAAGGAUCUUCAGUCUUGCUUUGUUACUCACUUUUUCUCCAAAAUAUCCUUCCACACAAAUUCUCCCAAAUAAUCCUUACAAUCAUUUUUAUUUAGUUUUUUUCUUUAGCUUUUCUGUGUUUCCCAUAAGAUAUAUAUAUAUAUUAUUUUUUGUAAAGAGGAAAAUUUAAUGAAACCUGGUUGUAAACAAGAUAGAAAACACAAUUCCAAUUUUAGGGGGACAUGAUAUAUUGUUAUGGAAAGAAGUCUCUAAGAAUAUAUGCCAGUUGUUAAGAAAGACUGCGGAAUUACUGCUGAGUAAUGUCUAUUUUGUGUACAAUUCUGCACUUUCAAGCUUUCCUGGAAUACGUAUGUUUCCUUCAAUUAGGACACCACCUAUUUCUUUAAAAUGAAAGUGCAAAGUUCUGUGUAUGAGGAUGUAUCGUGUGAACAUGCCAUCUGCACAGGUCAGCCAACGGUUCAAUGGGAGUAAUUGUGUGUGGCUCAGCACACAAGUGUGGGUCAAGUUAAGCUAGACGCUCAUCACUCAGUAUCUUGCUCUUCACAGUGAGUCCUGUGUGAGUCUUCGGAGCCUCCAUAUAAAUGGCGCUGGCUCUGAAACAUAGACGGCUACCACCUGGAAGUCCCAGAGGCCUCCACAGCUCGGGAGUCUGGGUGGGGACCUCCCUGCCCUCUGGGUAACCAGGGCUGAUUUUUCAACAUUCCUAUAAAACAUAUAUUCCUGGAAGGAGAAGGCAGGUGAACUGGAGUUCUAAGGAGGUUGUGUCCCUGAGGCCAACUCUGGCCCGUCUGUGCAGAGCCCAUGGGGUCAGUGGUUGCUGGAGGAUGGAGUCCAGAUACAACAGAUACACAAGAGCUCACAGACGUGAACAACCGCAAGGAUGCAGGUCAUGCCCCUGCACCUACCACUCUCCGUCCUGGCUCUGUGAAUUGGCCUCUCCUUCCUGUGAGCCUCAUGAAGGUGGAAUCCUGCCACAGCUGCCCUUACGUGUUGGGCCUUUUUGCUCCACAUGUGGAGUGGAAAAGGUUUAUCCCUGCUGUCACCUGCUGUCUCGUGCCUGAAUACUUCCAUGUUGUGUGCUGACCACAUGCUGUUUAUCCAUUCACCCACUGGUGGACCCCCGGGCUCUCUCCACCUUUUGGUUAUCGUGGCGAAUGCUGCUGUGAACAUGGGGAUACCUUUUUGAGUCCCUGGGCUCGAUUCUUUUGGACAUGUGCCAAGGAAGGAGUGGGAUGGCCGGGUCGACAGAUGACUCUGCCUGUCUUCUGCAGAGGCUGCCGUUUUCCAUCUUCACCAGCAAAGCGCGAUGGCUCCAAUGUCUCCCCGUCCUCACCAAUGCGUGCAAUUGUCUGUUUUGCUGAUGAACAUCAUCCUGGUAGGUGCGAAGUGGUAUUUCUUUGAGACUGUGAUUUGCAUAACAACUACUGAGGCAGAACAUCUUUUCAGUAUAGUCAUGAAAGUCAUGUAAGUCAUGUCACUUAAUGAAAGGGACACAUUGUGACAAAUGCGUCCUCAAGGGAUUUUCUCCUUGUCUGAACAUCACAGUCCUUGUCUGGACUUACACAAACCUGCAUGGCACAACCUACUCCAUACCUAAGCAAUGUGGCACAGCCUGGUGCUCCCAGGGUACACACCUGUGCAGCGUGGACUGUACUGAAUGCUGCAGGCAAUUCAGA
rnacentral:lncRNA from 10 species